ACACAUGAUGAUUGACUGUAACAUCACAGACUUUGAGUCGCGAUGAUAGCAACCAUGUCGCCCCAGUCUGACGUG
rnacentral:snoRNA from 1 species